rnacentral:lncRNA from 1 species
AAACGGCUCCGAAAUAUGACCCUCGAAGUUUGCGCCCUUCGACAGAUCAAGCGAUUCGGCUGAUGAAGGAUCGGAUCAGCCGGGUUCGAAGACCUUUACCGUAAAAUCGGUUCGGCUGGAUGAGCCGAAUGUAUGAACUGUGCAGGGAUCAAUAUCAGCAGAAGAGCCGAAUAGAAGAAGUACAGAGUAACUGGUCGGCUGAAAGAGCCGAAUG